rnacentral:lncRNA from 1 species
UCUCCUCACCUCCGAAGGCUGUUCGUCACUCCUGCUUCAUGUGCUGUUGUGUUGAGGAAGGCAACAGUUUACUUUGGAACUUUACUCGUGAUCUUCUGCGUAGAACUGGCUUGUGGUGUGUGGACAUACGAGCAGGAAGUUAUGGUGCCAGUACAGUGGUCAGAUAUGGUUACUUUGAAAGCCAGAAUGACAAAUUACGGCUUACCCAGGUAUAGGUGGCUUACGCAUGCUUGGAACUAUUUUCAGAGAGAGUUUAAGUGCUGCGGAGUGGUCUACUUCACCGAUUGGUUGGAAAUGACAGAAAUGGACUGGCCCCCAGACUCCUGCUGUGUUAGGGAGUUCCCAGGAUGCUCCAAGCAGGCUCACCAGGAAGACCUCAGUGACCUGUACCAAGAGGGUUGUGGGAAGAAAAUGUAUUCCUUUUUGAGAGGAACCAAACAAUUGCAAGUACUAAGGUUUCUGGGGAUCUCCAUUGGUGUGACACAAAUUCUAGCCAUGAUUCUCACCAUUACUCUGCUCUGGGCUCUGUAUUAUGAUAGAAGGGAGCCUGGGACAGACCAAAUGCUAUCUCUAAAAAAUGAUGCGUCACAACACUUGUCCUGUCACUCUGUGGAACUGUUAAAACCAAGCCUUUCUAGGAUCUUUGAACAUACAUCAAUGGCAAACAGCUUCAAUACCCACUUUGAGAUGGAAGAAUUAUGAAGAAUGUCAAAGAAGGAAAUCA